rnacentral:rRNA from 1 species
CCUGGUAGCGGGGGGUAACUAUUGGAAACGAUAGCUAAUACCGCAUGAAAUGGAUUAUCGCAUGAUAAUCGAUUGAAAGGUGCAAAUAGCAUCACUACCAGAUGGACCUGCGUUGUAUUAGCUAGUUGGUGAGGUAACGGCUCACCAAGGCAACGAUACAUAGCCGACCUGAGAGGGUGAUCGGCCACACUGGGACUGAGACACGGCCCAG